rnacentral:rRNA from 1 species
AGAGUUUGAUCCUGGCUCAGGAUGAACGCUGGCGGCGUGCUUAACACAUGCAAGUCGAACGAGAGAGGAUCGGUGCUUGCACUGAUCCAAUCGAGUGGCGGACGGGUGAGUAACGCGUGGGUAACCUGCCUCAUACAGGGGAAUAACAGUUGGAAACGGCUGCUAAAACCGCAUAAGCGCACAGUAUCGCAUGAUACAGUGUGAAAAACUCCGGUGGUAUGAGAUGGACCCGCGUCUGAUUAGCUAGUUGGUGAGGUAACGGCCCACCAAGGCAACGAUCAGUAGCCGGCCUGAGAGGGUGAACGGCCACAUUGGGACUGGAGACACGGCCCAAAACUCCGUACGGGAGGA